rnacentral:rRNA from 1 species
GACGAACGCUGGCGGCGUGCUUAACACAUGCAACUCGAACGGAAAGGCCCUGCUUUUGUGGGGUGCUCGAGUGGCGAACGGGCGAGUAACACGUGAGUAACCUGCCCUUGACUUUGGGAUAACUUCAGGAACCUGGGGCCAAUACCGGAUAGGAGCUCCUGCUGCAUGGUGGGGGUUGGAAGGUUUCGGCGGUUGGGGAUGGACUCGCGGCUUAUCAGCUUGUUGGUGGGGUAGUGGCUUACCAAGGCUUUGACGGGUAGCCGGCCUGAGAGGGUGACCGGCCACCUUGGGACUGAGAUACGGCCCAGACUCCUACGGGAGGCAGCAGUGGGGAAUAUUGCACAAUGGGCGGAAGCCUGAUGCAGCAACGCCGCGUGCGGGAUGACGGCCUUCGGGGUGUAAACCGCUUUCGCCUGUGACGAAGCGUGAGUGACGGUAAUGGGUAAAGAAGCAGCGGCUAACUACGUG